UACGUAGGGGGCUAGCGUUGUCCGGAAUCAUUGGGCGUAAAGCGCGUGUAGGCGGUCCGGUAAGUCCGCUGUGAAAGUCGGGGGCUCAACCCUCGAAUGCCGGUGGAUACUGUCGGGCUAGAGUGCGGAAGAGGCGAGUGGAAUUCCUGGUGUAGCGGUGAAAUGCGUAGAUAUUGGGAGGAACACCAGUGGCGAAGGCGGCUCACUGGACCGGAACUGACGCUGAGGCGCGAAAGCGUGGGGAGCAAACAGG
rnacentral:rRNA from 1 species